rnacentral:lncRNA from 1 species
UGAUGAUGAUGAAUAAGUUGGUUCUAGCGCAGUUUUUUUUUUCUUGUCUAUAAAGCAUUUAACCCCCCUGUACACAGCUCACUCCUUUUAAAGAAAAGAAUUGAAAUGUAAGGCUGUGUAAGAUUUGUUUUUAAACUGUACAGUGUCUUUUUUUGUAUAGUUAACACACUACCGAAUGUGUCUUUAGCUAGCCCUGUCCUGGUGGUAUUUUCAAUAGCCACUAACCUUGCCUGGUACAGUCUGGGGGUUGUAAAUUGGCAUGGAAAUUAAAGCAGGUUCUUGUUGGUGCACAG